CUGUAUUUAGUCUGAGCACGUUUUCUCAAUAGCAUCUCAGGGUCGGUCGGAGUUCCCUUCAAACAAUUUCGCAGCUUCUGAAAUAAGUAACGGUUCUAGGUUUGCCCUAAUAAUUAGAAUUCCGAUGGGAUUAAUUUAUUGGUGAAAUUAAUUAAAGCAAAAGAAACACACGCCAUGGAUUUCAUUGCCUGCUACCUCUAUAAAUUGUCUCCGAAAAUCACAGGAAAUCAUCAGUCUCACCGGUUCACCAUCUUCCUAGUCAAAGAGAGAAAUGGCAUCACAUGUUACUUGCAAUAUUCGUAAGGUUGGACCCUCAGCCACACAGGACACACUCAAGAGCUUGCGAUCGCUUGACGAAGGAAGAGCUAGCAUCGUUACCAUCCGUGUUACCCGGAAAUGGGAAGAGUUGGACUUCAUGUCGACCAACGACGUUACCAGCAUUGAUAUGGUUAUUGUUGACGAGCAGGGGGAAGAAUUAUACGCUGUCAUACCCAAAAAUCUUAUUUGGAAGUUUGAUAAGCUGAUUCUGGAAGGGGUUUCUAUGCAGAAACUACACUUGACCACUGCUAAACCCAAGUUCCGUCCUGCGCACAAUGAGAAGCGGGCCUUCUUCCGGAGCACCACCUCCGUUUCUGCUUUGGAUGCGUAUUCCGUGUCCAUUAUUUCCCAGAAAUUCUGUUUCACUGAGCUUGAAGCCAUAAACCUCCAGAACAUACAUCUUACAGAUGUGGUUGGUUUCUUAAAAACGGUCACGGACAUCCAGGUGCUUCAAAGGUCCGGUGGGCAAUCAAGCUGAAUGCGCGAGAUCACAAUUGAAAAUCUCAGGGGCACAACUAUGAAAAUUGCUGUAUGGGGUUCUGCCGCCAACCAAGUAGGGAAUGACCCAAUUGAUUGCGACUCCGUCCCCCCGUCCUGUGGUUGUUCCCGUUUGCUCCACUUUUGUUAAGAACUACCAAGGUAUCCCAAGAGAAGAGACAAUAAUGACAACGAUUAGUAUAUAUACCUGUAUAUGAGAUUACUUCCCCACCAGUUUACAUCAUCGAAAACGAGUAAAAAAGAAGUUUUAGAGCCGUUAAGAAGGUUUCCAAUCAAGGCAGCUGUAAGGAGAAGAUGGCAAACCAAAUGCGAGCACAUCAGUAUACUUUAGCUUAUCUGAACAAGAGAAGAUCUACAUCCCACUUACCAUCAAAAGGAACCGAGGCAACUAUAUCUGAUAAGAACGUUUCAAUAACCCCUGCCAUAGUCAUCGCACCAACUAUCGUUCCUUUGAAGAGGGAGCACCGACUUACCAUUGCUGAAAUUAACUCCGCAACAAGGGCGAGCACGAGUGAGAGAAAUGCAUCUUUCACGGUGUUGGCACAAAUUCUAUCUUUGAACGACAAAUGGUUAAUCAUCUACUGCCCAAUAUGCUUUGGGCAUAUGUCGGACUGGAAACAUAAUUCUAUCUUUGAACGACAAAUGGUUAAUCAUCUACUGCCCAAUAUGCUUUGGGCAUAUGUCGGAAUGGAAACAUCCUAGUAUCUGUAAAACAUGUUUCGGUACAGUUCACCCUACCACGAGGCUAAGCCUAACCAUGGAGGUUAACACCAAGGUGGAAACACUGAUAAGUUUGAAAGAGGUAGUGUGCUAAAUAGUAAUAAUUCAAAUACCCCUAGAUUUAUUUGGUGAUUUGGUUGGUUUUUUAUUGGUAUUUUAGCUUUGUCU